GAACGGGCAUGAGUAGCUGCUGUAUAUGUUCGUCGGUUGUGCUCUGACCUGUAGGGGUCACGUCCCCGGUGGGUCUCCACCCCGAGUUUGGUUGGUUCCUCCGGCGGCCGCCUGGUUCCGGGGCUGCUACCCUCCGGGGCGUGAUCCCGCCGACGCAGAGUUUGGUUACGUUCGAAUUGGGUUUGGGAGUUGUAGAUCCCGUGAUGAUGGCUCCGCAGGUUCACCUACGGAAAUGCGAUAAGUAAUGUGAAUUGCAGAAUUCAGUGAAUCAUCGAAUCUUUGAACGCACAUUGCGCCCGCCAGUAUUCUGGCGGGCAUGCCUGUCCGAGCGUCAUUUCAACCCUCGAACCCCUCCGGGGGAUCGGCGUUGGGGAUCGGGACCCCUCACACGGGUGCCGGCCCCUAAAUACAGUGGCGGUCUCGCCGCAGCCUCUCCUGCGCAGUAGUUUGCACAACUCGCACCGGGAGCGCGGCGCGUCCACGUCCGUAAAACACCCAACUUUCUGAAAUGUUGACCUCGGAUCAGGUAAGGAAUACCCGCUGAACUUAAGCAUAUCAAUAAGCGGGAGG
rnacentral:rRNA from 1 species